rnacentral:rRNA from 1 species
CCUACGGGAGGCAGCAGUGGGGAAUUUUGGACAAUGGGCGCAAGCCUGAUCCAGCAAUGCCGCGUGAGUGAAGAAGGCCUUCGGGUUGUAAAGCUCUUUUGUCAGGGAAGAAACGGUUGAGGCUAAUAUCCUCGGCUAAUGACGGUACCUGAAGAAUAAGCACCGGCUAACUACGUGCCAGCAGCCGCGGUAAUACGUAGGGUGCAAGCGUUAAUCGGAAUUACUGGGCGUAAAGCGUGCGCAGGCGGUUUUGUAAGUCUGUCGUGAAAGCCCCGGGCUUAACCUGGGAAUUGCGAUGGAGACUGCAAGGCUUGAAUCUGGCAGAGGGGGGGUAGAAUUCCACGUGUAGCAGUGAAAUGCGUAGAGAUGUGGAGGAACACCGAUGGCGAAGGCAGCCCCCUGGGUCAAGAUUGACGCUCAUGCACGAAAGCGUGGGGAGCAAACAGGAUUAGAUACCCUGGUAGUCCACGCCCUAAACGAUGUCUACUAGUUGUCGGGUCUUAAUUGACUUGGUAACGCAGCUAACGCGUGAAGUAGACCGCCUGGGGAGUACGGUCGCAAGAUUAAAACUCAAAUGAAUUGACGGCUGGAGACGUAGCCGACGGACGACGACGAGGGAGGAGG